CCUCGCCUUGAGGGAUUGGCCGCCGCUCGGCCACGCCCCCAGCGUGACUCCGCCAAUAGGAUGCUUUCCUCUCGCUCUGCCACGCCCACGCGAGUUUGGCCACGCCCACGGGUGCGGUCCGGCUCGAUGUUAACCCGUUGCGUGCCGGUUUGAAUUGAGAGCACGCCCAGAUUGGGAAGGCGGGGUUAUGUAAAUGAGGUGGGAGGUGAUUGGUGGGGAGGACCGCUCGGCCACGCCCCCAGCGUGACUCCGCCAAUAGGAUGCUUUCCUCUCGCUCUGCCACGCCCACGCGAGUUUGGCCACGCCCACGGGUGCGGUCCGGCUCGAUGUUAACCCGUUGCGUGCCGGUUUGAAUUGAGAGCACGCCCAGAUUGGGAAGGCGGGGUUAUGUAAAUGAGGUGGGAGGUGAUUGGUGGGGAGGAGAGGGGCGGAGCCUUAAGGGGGAUGUUAAGUGGGCAAUGGGGUCAGCGGGGAGGAAUGGGGUCAGUGGGGAGCAAUGGGGUCAGUGGGGUCAAUGGGGUCAAUGGGGUCAACGGGGAUCAAUGGGGUCAACGGGGAUCAAUGGGGUCAACGGGGUCUAAGAGGGUCAACGGGGUCUAAGAGGGUCAACGGGGACUGUGAGGGUCAAUGGGGUCAAUGGGGAUCAAAUGGGGUCAAUGGGGGCAACGGGGAACAAUGGGGUCAAUGGGAACAAUGGGGUCAACAGGGGACAAUGGGGUCAAUAUGGUCAAUGGGGUCAAUGGGGUCAAUAGGGUCUAUGAGGGUCAAUGGGGUCAAUGAGGUCUAUAAGGGCCAAUGGGGUCAAUGGGGAACAAUGGGGUCAAUGAGGUCUAUGAGGGUCAAUGGGGUCAACAGGGAACAAUGGGGUCUAUGAGGGUCAAUGGGGUCAAUGGGAGUCAAUGGGAUCAAUGGGGAACAAUGGGAUCAGUGGGGGACAAUGGGGUCAGUGGGAACAAUGGGGUCAACUGAAGACAAUGGGGUCAAAUAGGGGGGCAGUAGGGG
rnacentral:lncRNA from 1 species